rnacentral:rRNA from 1 species
CCUACGGGAGGCAGCAGUGGGGAAUAUUGCACAAUGGGCGCAAGCCUGAUGCAGCAACGCCGCGUGAGGGAUGACGGCCUUCGGGUUGUAAACCUCUUUCAGUAGGGAAGAAGCGAAAGUGACGGUACCUACAGAAGAAGCACCGGCUAACUACGUGCCAGCAGCCGCGGUAAUACGUAGGGUGCGAGCGUUGUCCGGAAUUAUUGGGCGUAAAGAGCUUGUAGGCGGUUUGUCGCGUCUGCUGUGAAAAUCCGGGGCUCAACCCCGGACUUGCAGUGGGUACGGGCAGACUAGAGUGUGGUAGGGGAGACUGGAAUUCCUGGUGUAGCGGUGAAAUGCGCAGAUAUCAGGAGGAACACCGAUGGCGAAGGCAGGUCUCUGGGCCACUACUGACGCUGAGAAGCGAAAGCGUGGGGAGCGAACAGGAUUAGAUACCCUGGUAGUCCACGCCGUAAACGUUGGGAACUAGGUGUGGGUCUCAUUCCACGAGAUCCGUGCCGCAGCUAACGCAUUAAGUUCCCCGCCUGGGGAGUACGGCCGCAAGGCUAAAACUCAAAGGAAUUGACGG